rfam:Cyberlindnera jadinii NRRL Y-1542 unplaced genomic scaffold CYBJAscaffold_13, whole genome shotgun sequence.
GCGCUGUAAUGGCUCUUUUAGUGGAAUGGCGUCCGUUUCUGUUCCGCGGAAAUGCCCAGCUUGUCUGGGUGUUGCCCAUUGCCAGUUUCCAGUUGAGGUGUCCUGGUUCGACUUUUGCGGAUGGUGAAAUUCUCCCGCUGUGAGUAAUCCAGCUUGGGAGCACCGAGCAAUGGCCAGUAGUACCGCCAAAGGGGAGUCAAUCCAGCAUGGCACUACUGCCCGUGAAGGGGCGGUCAGGAUUGCACCAGGCUGAGGUGUGGGAACGCGGAAAGGGCGUGAAACCAAUUUU